GAGUGCAUCCCUGUGUUGCCAAGGCACUGUUUGUGACACAGCACAGAGCAGGAAAAGACUUGCAGAGCAGGACUGGGUAAAGCGCCAAAAACGGCAGCUCAAGCCAGGAAGCUGCAUUAUACCAAGUCAGACCACUGCUCCAUCUAGCACAGUACUGUCUACAUUGAUUGGCAGCAGCAUUCCAGGGUUUCUUUCAGGCAGAAGUCUCUCCCAGGCCUAUAUGGAGAUGCUGGGGAUUGAACCUGCGACCUAUUGCCUGCAAAGCAGAUGCUCUACCACUGAACGAUGGCCUUUCCCCUAUGUUUUUACGUGCUGAAAAAGGACUUGUUCCCAACUCUGGGGAAAAAAGGACGGCAUGCCAUCUACAGGGCUGCCAUUCAGAAUGGAUUUUCCAGUCUCCUUCCUGCAGUGGCCAAUCUACAAGACUUUCUUAACAACACAUUCUCUGCUCCUCACAAUGGCAAACUCGUGUACAGACAAGAGGGGAUCUCACUGGUUGCCCUGCAGAUCGAGCUGGGCCAAGAUUUAUUUACUUUUGUAGUUGUUCCAUUUGCUCUCUCCCUUUGUGUCUUGUAAAGAUAGUGCAUUAAAAUGCUCCCAAGUCAAA